rnacentral:rRNA from 1 species
AUUAGGUCAUUCUUGGAUUUUAGCCAGUCUGGCAUUAAGUUGUCGGGUUGGUGAAAACCAUCGUUUACUGUGAAAAAAUUAGAGUGUUCAAAGCAGACUUAUGUCGUUGAAUAGAUUAGCAUGGAAUAAUAAUAUAGGACUUUUGUACUAUUUUGUUGGUUAGGUGUAAAAGUAAUGAUCAAUAGGGACAGUUGGGCGUAUUCGUAUUUCGUUGCUAGAGGUGAAAUUCUUGGAUUUCCGAAAGACGAACUACUGCGAAAGCAUUUACGAAGGAUGUUUUCAUUAAUCAAGAACGAAAGUUAGGGGAUCGAAGAUGAUUAGAUACCAUCGUAGUCUUAACCAUAAACUAUGCCGACUCGGGAUUGGGC